rnacentral:rRNA from 1 species
UGGUGGGUAGUUUGACUGGGGCGGUCUCCUCCCAAAGAGUAACGGAGGAGCACGAAGGUGGGCUAAUCACGGUUGGACAUCGUGAGGUUAGUGCAAUGGCAUAAGCCCGCUUGACUGCGAGAAUGACAAUUCGAGCAGGUGCGAAAGCAGGUCAUAGUGAUCCGGUGGUUCUGAAUGGAAGGGCCAUCGCUCAACGGAUAAAAGGUACUCCGGGGAUAACAGGCUGAUACCGCCCAAGAGUUCAUAUCGACGGCGGUGUUUGGCACCUCGAUGUCGGCUCAUCACAUCCUGGGGCUGAAGUCGGUCCCAAGGGUAUGGCUGUUCGCCAUUUAAAGUGGUACGCGAGCUGGGUUUAGAACGUCGUGAGACAGUUCGGUCCCUAUCUGCCGUGGGCGUUGGAAGAUUGAAGGGGGCUGCUCCUAGUACGAGAGGACCGGAGUGGACGAACCUCUGGUGUUCGGGUUGUGUCGCCAGACGCAUUGCCCGGUAGCUAAGUUCGGAAUCGAUAACCGCUGAAAGCAUCUAAGCGGGAAGCGAGCCCUGAGAUGAGUCUUCCCUGAUACUUUAAGUAUCCUAAAGGGUUGUCGGAGACUACGACGUUGAUAGGUCAGGUGUGUAAGUGCUGUGAGGCAUUGAGCUAACUGAUACUAAUUGCCCGUGAGGCUUAACCAUACAACACCCAAGG